GACAUUGUUACGACUUACAGUAGAGCAGCCAAGCAUGGGCUCGGCCCUUGCUCACUCGGCGGGAGCCAUUCUGCAGAUCAUAUCAACAGACUUCAGGUUUUCUCUCCCGCAAAAACACGCCUUGAGGCAGGAAGAACAGAGUGCUGUGAUGUAUUAUCAAUAGCAGAGAAGAAUACCACAACGGUCAGAAUCAGGCCUUGCAUGGAAGCUGAAGAGAUUGCAUAGCACCAUAUCUAUACAUAUACAGAUAGAGAUAAACAGUAGAGAUAUUUGCUCUUUUAUGUCUCUUUUUUAUUUUUUUUCUUUUUUGCUGGGCAAAAGUAAUCAUAGCAAUACAAUCAAUUAAGAGUAGAGGCUUCCAAAAUCUAUCUAAAUCAAAUUGCAAGGGAGCGGUAGUUUCUAAUCUGAAAUGAAAUUUCUCCCAAUAGUGCUCCAAAAUCCUCUU